GAGAUUACACCUUUGCAGGGAGGAGAAGAAGGGGUACCUCCUAAGCCAGUAUUUGCUGCAUCCAAGGUAGAAUGGGGAGCUUACAGAGAUGCUAGAGAAAGAAAUGAUGUCUAUUGGUAUUGGUCUGUUUUGAAGAAGUACAUGACUUACGUAUUUUCCAGUUAUAAAGAUAUUUCAUGGGACUGUUCAGCUGACAUAGAGUACUCAACACCUUGUUCAGGU